rnacentral:rRNA from 1 species
CCGCAUAGUAUCUGUGGAUUAAAGGUGGCUUUUGGGCUGUCGCAGAUGGAUGAGCCUGCGUUGGAUUAGCUAGUUGGUAGGGUAAGGGCCUACCAAGGCUGCGAUCCAUAGCUGAUUUGAGAGGAUGAUCAGCCACAUUGGGACUGAGACACGGCCCAAACUCUUACGGGAGGCAGCAGUGAGGAAUAUUGGACAAUGGGGGCAACCCUGAUCCGGCAAUGCCAUGUGUGUGAAGAAGGCCUUAGGGUUGUAAAGCACUUUAGUUGGGGAAGAAAGCUUUGAGGUUAAUAGCCUUGAGGAAGGACGUUACCCAAAGAAUAAGCACCGGCUAACUCCGUGCCAGCAGCCGCGGUAAUACGGGGGGUGCAAGCGUUAAUCGGAAUUACUGGGCGUAAAGGGUCUGUAGGUGGUUUGUUAAGUCAGAUGUGAAAGCCCAGGGCUCAACCUUGGAACUGCAUUUGAUACUGGCACACUAGAGUACGGUAGAGGAAUGAGGAAUUUCUGGUGUAGCGGUGAAAUGCGUAGAGAUCAGAAGGAACACCAAUGGCGAAGGCAACAUUCUGGACCGAUACUGACACUGAGGGACGAAAGCGUGGGGAUCAAACAGGAUUAGAUACCCUGGUAGUCCAUGCUGUAAACGAUGAGUACUAGCUGUUGGAGUCGGUGUAAAGGCUCUAGUGGCGCAGCUAACGCGAUAAGUACUCCGCCUGGGGACUACGGCCGCAAGGCUAAAACUCAAAGGAAUUGACGGGGAUCCGCACAAGCGGUGGAGCAUGUGGUUUAAUUCGAUGCAACGCGAAGAACCUUACCUGGUCUUGACAUCCUGCGAGCUUUCUAGAAAUAGAUUGGUGCCUUAGGGAACGCAGUGACAGGUGCUGCACGGCUGUCGUCAGCUCGUGUUGUGAAAUGUUGGGUUAAGUCCCGCAACGAGCGCAACCCCUAUUGAUAGUUACCAUCAUUAAGUUGGGUACUCUAUUGAGACUGCCGCUGACAAGGCGGAGGAAGGUGGGGACGACGUCAAGUCAUCAUGGCCCUUACGACCAGGGCUACACACGUGCUACAAUGGGUAUUACAGAGGGCUGCAAAGGAGCGAUCUG